AAAGUCUUCAUCUUCUCUAUCACUACACCAAACCAUGGCCUUUUUAAAGGCUCUCAGUGUCGCACAGCCUUCUCCUGCAUUUAGCUAGCUAGCUCAUUCAUUCCUAGUAAAGCAUCGAAGGAAUAGAACGCAAGAUGGCUCUGGUCGGCCAGGUCGCCACGGUCGCGCAGCUGGUCGGGGUGGACGCCUACGGGCUCAUCACCAUGAUCGCCGAGGCGGCUCGGACGGUGCGGCGGAACAGGGCGACCUGCCUCCAGCUCGCCCGGCGGGUCGAGAUGAUCGGCGGCCUGCUCAGGCAGCUUCAGGCCACGCAGCUGAUGCACCAGCCGGAGACGAGGGACCCCGUGGAGGAGCUGGAGGAGACGCUCCGGCGCGCGUACCUGCUCGUCCGGUCCUGCCAGCGCCGCGGGUACGUGUACCGGUGCUUCAUGGGCACGCGGCACGCCGACGAGCUCCGCGAGGUGCAGGGUGAGAUCGCUUUCUACCUCCAGCUCUUCCCCCUCGUCAGCUACGUCGACGCCACGCUCACAUGGGCCAGGCUUCUCAGCAAGGCUCAUCAUCCGUGCUGCCAACAGGCACCUAUGGUAAGACCAUAUUUUGUGCCAUCCCUGUUUCUCUCGUGCGAUGGAUGCUGCUUAGCAAUUGUUCAGGGAGUAUGCCUUGGUAUAGUAUACACACGGUUUACACCUCCUCUGGUAUUGUCUACUGAUGUAUGUAUCUGUGAAUUUUUCAUGUGCCACUGCAGGAGUCGAAACACAUUACUGACUUGUUCCUUUCUCAUCUUAUCACUUAACACAUUAACAAUGAUCUAGCUAGCACCCUUUUUUUCUCUGGGAACAGCUAGCUAGUACGCAAUUGUUGAUCAUCUUUGUCAGAUGACUAGUCGUGAAAUUCAGGUGAAAUCGAUCGAAAGUACAGUUGUAAGUCAGCCAUUCAUUCAUGUUUGCGAAAUAGGUAUGUUGAAAAUUUCCUUUUCCUCAUGGAAGAUCAUAUCGGAGUUAAUUACUACCUGACCAACUCUCGGGUGCUGUUCUUAUCGCUCGAGUUUUCGGAUGAUCCGUUUGCAUCCACAGCUUACAUUUUGGUUCAUCAGGAGUACAAAGUUCCAGUUCCAGGGUCGCAGGCGCAGAUGCCAUCGCAAUCAGACCAGUCCUUGAGCCUUCCACCGCUGAGGAACGCCGAGUAGGUCACAUACGUCAUGCUCCCUUGACAUGCUUCAAUCUUUCAGCUUUCUCAAAAAAAAAAAAAAAAAAAAAAAGCAGCAUCACUCAACUGAGUUGGUACAGUAAGGUGUUGGGAUCGCAUUUGUUGCUGUCCUCGAGUCUCUACUGCUGUCAAAAUCCUUCCUCUUCAGUUUUACAAGAGAAGAACUGAACCAUGAAAACGUCGAAAAGAUAGGCGAACCGUGGUUCCGACCAAAAUUAUGGUAGCAGAGAUAACAAUGGUCAAGACCUCAGAGAUGUUUCCAUGUCAUUUUUGCCUUGCUAUCGCGAAUGCCCAUUGAUGUACAUUGUGAGUCUCAGUUUCUUCAGAUCUGUACAGUUUUCUAUAUAUUCCUUACGGCGCUGUAAAGUCUAGUCAGAAUCCUGCAAUUUUCAGGAUGCUGUGUCGACAGCCACACCUGGUGCUUCUCUGAUUUUUUUAGAUAAUGGAAACAUUGUUUCCGGCCUCUGCACCAUGUGGCACACACAGUCUAAUUCAUUAUUACAAUAUGCUUCUCUGA